UACGAAGGAUCCAAGCGUUGUCCGGAUUUACUGGGUUUAAAGGGUGCGUAGGCGGAAUAUUAAGUCAGUGGUGAAAGCUGGUAGCUCAACUAUCAAAUUGCCAUUGAAACUGAUAUUCUCGAGUACGGUUGAGGUAGCUGGAAUGUAACAUGUAGCGGUGAAAUGCUUAGAUAUGUUACAGAACACCAAUUGCGAAGGCA
rnacentral:rRNA from 1 species